GGUGUACCGUCCUUCAGUUUUAAUUCCUAGUCGGACAUGUUUCACGGACGGAACAGUCGCGCAGGUUGGCUUCUCUUCAAAACUUGAUCAGAGCUUCGUCUCAAACAUUGCCAUGAAGAAACAGAUCCAUGACCAGGUGAUGUUAACAGUGAGACUUCAGGAAGAAAAAAGUCUUCUGGUGUUAGAAAUGGCACAGCACUGCACAUGGCUGCAGAACCUGGUGGCGGUCCUCAAGAAAAAGUUGGCUGACGAAGACAGUGGCAAUGAAGGACUUUGCUGUCUUCUAACAAGAAGAGCUUCAGAAAUGGAAGGACUGUUGCAGAUGGUGCACCAACAGUUCCAGACUGCUUUAGGUCCUCAGGCGACUGUCCUUCUGCAUGUUGAAGACGAGGUCCAGAAUGAACCCAGCAUUCCAGACACCAGUGAAGAUGAUGAAGAAGAAGAAAACACAUCCUAGGAAAUAUGGAAGACGCACAGUGGAUUGGGGUGAAGGAAAUGGACUUGUACGCCUCUGUAUCUGUGUAUUAACAUCCUACCUCCAUCUUUUCCGUUUUUAUGCCGGCUUAUCUGUGUAGGCUUUCAGGAGCCUGUCCCAGCUGACAGUUGAGCGUGAGGCAGGAUCUAAUCUGGAUAGAUCAUCAGUCCAGCACAGGACCGACACAGAGGGACAGACAAACCACCCUCUGUCACAUACACUUAUAUGGACAAUUUAACUUACUCCAUUAGCCUAGCAGGCAGUCUUGUGUUUGGGAGCCAAGUGAAGUACCUGGAGAGGACCUGAGCAGGCACAGGGAGAACAUGCAAACUCCACUGCACCACUAUGCAGCCCUGUUGUGUAAUAAACGUGGAUUCAAUUUGAAUGUUACCACAUUCUAAAUCUGUUCCGUGUCUUGAGAAAUGGUCUUGCCCUUUCAGUAGUGUGGCUGACCAACAUUCUUCUUUGUGGCUACAUGUUACGUGACUAAUUAAUAGUUGUGAACUAAUCCAGCUUUUGUGUGUUUUAGUUGACAGCUCAAUUUCAGUAGUAAAGCAUGGAUAUGUGUGUGUCUUUGUCAUCCCUUUGCAUAUAGCUGUGUGAGAACUCCUGGGCAAGUGCUUUUAUUUAAUGAAAGCAUUAGUCAUAGUUCAGAGUGGCUGGAUAUUGAUGAACAAAAAGAACUUUGGUGUGUAGAGGAUACAUCACAGUUAGUGUCAAACAGUCUGCUCUGGGGACAUCAGAUCAGUUUUCUUUCUUAUGGUUGGCAAGAAAAAGGUCACCUGGAUAGCAAUACCAUGUGUUUGUAAGCAAGGAAGAAGACAUGUCAAGCUGUAAAAUCCCACCUCUUUGAACAUUUGCACAACUGUUUUAUGAAGUGGAAAAUGUAUUGUGGCAGUAUGUAACAAAAUUCGAAGAACUACUUCCAUUUUUCCUUAAUUUGAAAUGUUUUUCUUUUUUUCACUAUCAUCUGGUUUCUUGAAAACCUAGGUUAGCUCAGGUGUCUUUUGACUUUGUGCCCUUCAGGUAGACAAUAUGUUUAAUGUCUUCUUGUAAAUGAAAUCUAGUCAGUACUUGUGUGAUGGGGAACACAUGUAAAGGGAAUAAUUAUUAUCAUAAAAUGUUAUUACUGUAUUUUGUAUGGUACAGUGUGAAAGUGAAGCAAUUACAUUCUGCUGAAGACCCAUAUGUCUC
ensembl:lncRNA